rnacentral:lncRNA from 1 species
AUUUGAGUGUGCUCGCUGUGUCCGGAGUCCUCAAGGCAAUGUAGGUAUGGCACACGAAGGCCCUGCGCUCACUUGUCGGCCAGGGCGCUGUGCUGGGCCUGGCAGAACUCUGCCCUCACGCUCAGAAUCGCCAUAAAUGUGCGACGUAAAUUCCAACAGAACACCCCGGGCAUUGAGCGCGGCGCCGUUCUUCCGAGCGGGCCCGGCGCCUCCCACACCGCGGGCCGGGGGGCGCGAGGGGGGCAGGAAGGGGCGGCGGCGGCGGCGCGGAGCGGCGGGGCCCGUGACGGGGAUGGGCUGCGCGCGGCCCGCUGCGGCCCGGCCGGAGGAGACACCCGAGAGCCCCCGCGCCGCCACACGGCUCCCCGCGCGCAGGCCGCUCCCUCCCCGCCCUGCCCCGUGGUACGGCCCGCCCGGCGCUGAUUGGCACGGCGCGCCGCACACCCGCGCC